GGCUGAUUGUCCAGGCAAAUCCGGAUAAUCAAGGCUGAGGUGUGAUGACGAGGCACUACGGUGCUGAAGUAACAAAUGCCCUGCUUCCAGGAAAAGCCUCUAAGCAUCAGGUAACAUUAAAUCGUACCCCAAACCGACACAGGUGGUCAGGUGGAGAAUACCAAGGCGCUUGAGAGAACUCGGGUGAAGGAACUAGGCAAAAUGGUGCCGUAACUUCGGGAGAAGGCACGCUGGUGUGUAGGUGA
rnacentral:rRNA from 1 species